rnacentral:rRNA from 1 species
ACUAAAUAGAUACCCAGGUAGUCCAUGCCGUAAACUAUGGAUACUAGCUGUUGGGGGUAUCGACCCCUCCAGUAGCGAAAGCUAAACGCGUUAAGUAUCCCGCCUGUGGAGUACGAUCGCAAGAUUAAAACAUAAAGGAAUUGACGGGGACCCGCACAAGCGGUGGAGCGUGUUCUUUAAAUUCGAUGCUAAACGAAGAACCUUACCAGGGCUUGACAUCCCUUGAAUUACUCCGAAAGGAGUGAGUGCUUUAUUGAGCAAGGUGACAGGUGAUGCAUGGCCGUCGUCAGCUCGUGUCGUGAGAUGUUUGGUUAAGUCCAUCAACGAGCGCAACCCUUAUACUUAGUUGUAUUUUUCUAGGUAGACUGCCCCGGUAACGGGGAGGAAGGGGGGUAGUGAUGUCAGGUCGAGU